GAUGAACGCUGGCGGCGUGCUUAACACAUGCAAGUCGAACGAUGAAGCCCAGCUUGCUGGGUGGAUUAGUGGCGAACGGGUGAGUAACACGUGAGUAACCUGCCCUUGACUCUGGGAUAAGCCUGGGAAACUGGGUCUAAUACUGGAUAUGACUUCUCAUCGCAUGGUGGGGGGUGGAAAGAUUUAUUGGUCUUGGAUGGACUCGCGGCCUAUCAGCUUGUUGGUGAGGUAAUGGCUCACCAAGGCGACGACGGGUAGCCGGCCUGAGAGGGUGACCGGCCACACUGGGACUGAGACACGGCCCAGACUCCUACGGGAGGUAGCAGUGGGGAAUAUUGCACAAUGGGCGCAAGCCUGAUGCAGCGACGCCGCGUGAGGGAUGACGGCCUUCGGGUUGUAAACCUCUUUCAGUAGGGAAGAAGCGAGAGUGACGGUACCUGCAGAAGAAGCGCCGGCUAACUACGUG
rnacentral:rRNA from 1 species